rnacentral:hammerhead_ribozyme from 1 species
GCACUGCUGAGGAGUCCCACAAUAGGACGAAACGCUCAUUCAGUGC